CCUGGUCUUGACAUCCCGGAGACCCUUAGGAAACUAGGGGUGCUUCCAUCUGGAAGAAUCUGGAGGACAGGUGCUGCAUGGCUGUCGUCAGCUCGUGUCGUGAGAUGUUGGGUUAAGUCCCGCAACGAGCGCAACCCUUGCCUUUAGUUGCCAGCAGUUCGGCUGGGCACUCUAAAGGGACUGCCGGUGUUAAACCGGAGGAAGGUGGGGAUGACGUCAAGUCCUCAUGGCCUUUAUGACCAGGGCUACACACGUACUACAAUGGCCGAUACAAAGGGCAGCGACACUGCGAGGUGAAGCCAAUCCCGUAAAAUCGGUCUCAGUCCGGAUUGGAGUCUGCAACUCGACUCCAUGAAGUUGGAAUCGCUAGUAAUCGUGGAUCAGCAUGCCACGGUGAAUACGUUCCCGGGCCUU
rnacentral:rRNA from 1 species